GCUCCCUAGGAGCACUCUCAUGAGAUGGAGGAGGAACCUUACUGUUCUCAACAUAGAAAUCAACAGGAGAAUCAUAAUCAUAGGCAUAGGAAGAAGAAACAGUAUCCACAUAACCAAAAUAGGUAGACAUGGGAAAGAAGGGGGAAAAGAAGAAUGCAAUGAAAAUAUGUAACUAAAGUUACCUAAAUGCAACACACAUGACACCACAAACAAAACAGAACAUCACACUCAUAACACAAGACAAAACACAACACAUACUAACACAACAAAAGACCUAAAACCGAACCGUUGGUCCCCGGCAACGGCGCCAAAAUUUUGAUGGGUGUCGCACCCCAUGCAAAAUUUAAUGUGCAUAAAAGAAUGCAGUAUAAACUAGGAAGUGACUCCUAGGUUGUCUCUCAAGGACCAAACUAUGGUUUGAGAAUCAGGUCAAACAUGAAGUGGGGGGGGGGGUGGUGAAAGGUUUGUGAAUGCGAUGAAUUAAAUUAAAACACAGAUACAAACAAAAACGUAAAAACAGAUGUAAAAACGGAAUCAAGUACAAAAUAAAAGUGAUUGGUCAUUAACUCAAUUAAUA
rnacentral:lncRNA from 1 species